UACAGAGGGGGCAAGCGUUGUUCGGAAUUACUGGGCGUAAAGGGCGCGUAGGCGGCCCGCUAAGUCGAACGUGAAAUCCCCGGGCUCAACCCGGGAACUGCGUCCGAUACUGGUGGGCUCGAAUCCGGGAGAGGGAUGCGGAAUUCCAGGUGUAGCGGUGAAAUGCGUAGAUAUCUGGAGGAACACCGGUGGCGAAGGCGGCAUCCUGGACCGGUAUUGACGCUGAGGCGCGAAAGCUAGGGUAGCAAACGGG
rnacentral:rRNA from 1 species